rnacentral:hammerhead_ribozyme from 1 species
GCGUCACUGACGAGUCUCAUGUAGACGAAACGCGCGUCUGGCGU